CGUACACUCCUGCGGGAGGCAGCAGUGGGGAAUAUUGCACAAUGGGCGCAAGCCUGAUGCAGCCAUGCCGCGUGUAUGAAGAAGGCCUUCGGGUUGUAAAGUACUUUCAGCGGGGAGGAAGGCGAUAAGGUUAAUAACCUUGUUGAUUGACGUUACCCGCAGAAGAAGCACCGGCUAACUCCGUGCCAGCAGCCGCGGUAAUACGGAGGGUGCAAGCGUUAAUCGGAAUUACUGGGCGUAAAGCGCACGCAGGCGGUCUGUUAAGUCGGAGGUGAAAUCCCCGGGCUCAACCUGGGAACUGCAUUCGAAACUGGCAGGCUAGAGUCUUGUAGAGGGGGGUAGAAUUCCAGGUGUAGCGGUGAAAUGCGUAGAGAUCUGGAGGAAUACCGGUGGCGAAGGCGGCCCCCUGGACAAAGACUGACGCUCAGGUGCGAAAGCGUGGGGAGCAAACAGGAUUAGAAACCCUAGUAGUCCCA
rnacentral:rRNA from 1 species